GAUAGCGAAGAGGUCACACCCGUUCCCAUUCCGAACACGGCAGUUAAGCUCUUCAGCGCCGAUGGUAGUUGGGGGUUUCCCCCUGUGAGAGUAGGACGUCGCCAAGC
rnacentral:rRNA from 1 species